AAAUCGUACCCCAAACCGACACAGGUGGUCAGGUAGAGAAUACCAAGGCGCUUGAGAGAACUCGGGUGAAGGAACUAGGCAAAAUGGUGCCGUAACUUCGGGAGAAGGCACGCUGAUAUGUAGGUGAAGCCCCUGCGGGUGGAGCUGAAAUCAGUCGAAGAUACCAGCUGGCUGCAACUGUUUAUUAAAAACACAGCACUGUGCAAACACGAAAGUGGACGUAUACGGUGUGACGCCUGCCCGGUGCCGGAAGGUUAAUUGAUGGGGUUAGCGGCAACGCGAAGCUCUUGAUCGAAGCCCCGGUAAACGGCGGCCGUAACUAUAACGGUCCUAAGGUAGCGAAAUUCCUUGUCGGGUAAGUUCCGACCUGCACGAAUGGCGUAAUGAUGGCCAGGCUGUCUCCACCCGAGACUCAGUGAAAUUGAACUCGCUGUGAAGAUGCAGUGUACCCGCGGCAAGACGGAAAGACCCCGUGAACCUUUACUAUAGCUUGACACUGAACACUGGUCCUUGAUGUGUAGGAUAGGUGGGAGGCUUUGAAGCGUGGACGCCAGUCUGCGUGGAGCCAACCUUGAAAUACCACCCUUUAAUGGCUGGUGUUCUAACGUAGACCCGUAAUCCGGGUUGCGGACAGUGUCUGGUGGGUAGUUUGACUGGGGCGGUCUCCUCCCAAAGAGUAACGGAGGAGCACGAAGGUUAGCUAAUCCUGGUCGGACAUCAGGAGGUUAGUGCAAUGGCAUAAGCUAGCUUGACUGCGAGAGUGACGGCUCGAGCAGGUGCGAAAGCAGGUCAUAGUGAUCCGGUGGUUCUGAAUGGAAGGGCCAUCGCUCAACGGAUAAAAGGUACUCCGGGGAUAACAGGCUGAUACCGCCCAAGAGUUCAUAUCGACGGCGGUGUUUGGCACCUCGAUGUCGGCUCAUCACAUCCUGGGGCUGAAGUAGGUCCCAAGGGUAUGGCUGUUCGCCAUUUAAAGUGGUACGCGAGCUGGGUUUAGAACGUCGUGAGACAGUUCGGUCCCUAUCUGCCGUGGGCGCUGGAGAAUUGAGGGGGGCUGCUCCUAGUACGAGAGGACCGGAGUGGACGCAUCACUGGUGUUCGGGUUGUCAUGCCAAUGGCACUGCCCGGUAGCUAAAUGCGGAAGAGAUAAGUGCUGAAAGCAUCUAAGCACGAAACUUGCCCCGAGAUGAGUUCUCCCUGAGACUUAAAGUCUCCUGAAGGAACGUUGAAGACGACGACGUUGAUAGGUCGGGUGUGUAAGCGCAGCGAUGCGUUGAGCUAACCGAUACUAAUGAACCGUGAGGCUUAACCUUACAACGCCGAAGCUGUU
rnacentral:rRNA from 1 species